rnacentral:rRNA from 1 species
UACGUAGGGUGCAAGCGUUAAUCGGAAUUACUGGGCGUAAAGCGUGCGCAGGCGGCUUUGCAAGACAGAUGUGAAAUCCCCGGGCUCAACCCGGGAACUGCGUCCGAUACUGGUGGGCUCGAAUCCGGGAGAGGGAUGCGGAAUUCCAGGUGUAGCGGUGAAAUGCGUAGAUAUCUGGAGGAACACCGGUGGCGAAGGCGGCAUCCUGGACCGGUAUUGACGCUGAGGCGCGAAAGCCAGGGGAGCAAACGGG